rnacentral:lncRNA from 1 species
GGGUAGGUAGAAAUGAAGACCGAAAAGAGACACCUAAAUCAAACUGAAAGAAAUUUUCCACAGAAACAAUCGUAGUUAAUGUUCUAAAAUAUAGGCUGUGUUUCAGAAGCACAGAAGGCUUUUAGAAGCAGAACAGGCCAUGUUGUGAAUAAUCUUAAUAAACAACGAUCACAAAAAUUAUUCUCAUUUCCUAAUGCUUUUUCCUUUUCUAGUUGUUAUUAGAUCUUUAAAAUAGCUAACUUCUUCACCUGGCAAAAGUCCAUAUUAAGCAUGCUCUAAAGUCCAUAUUAAACAUGUAGCAUAACAACUAGCAGUCAAUAAAUAUUAGUGAUAUGAAUGUUGAACCUUAUCUGAGAUCAAGUCUCCUUCCCCUAUAUGUAGAGUUAAUGAAAUGGUGGAAAUGGCUAGAAAAAUAAUUAUCUCAAUUUGGACACCUGAUUCAUAUUAAUACAUUUUAAGGAACAGACAC